rnacentral:rRNA from 1 species
CGAAGGAUGCAAGCGUUAUCCGGAUUCAUUGGGUUUAAAGGGAGCGUAGGUGGUCUUAUAAGUCAGUGGUGAAAUCUCUGGGCUUAACCCAGAAAUUGCCAUUGAUACUGUAGGACUUGAGUAUAGUUGCCGUUGGCGGAAUAUGACAUGUAGUGGUGAAAUACAUAGAGAUGUCAUAGAACACCAAUUGCGAAGGCAGCUAACGAAACUAUAACUGACACUGAGGCUCGAAAGUGUGGGGAUCAAACAGGAUUAGAUACCCUGGUAGUCCACACUGUAAACGAUGAUUACUCGCUGCUAGAGGGUAACUUUAGUGGCUUAGCGAAAGCGAUAAGUAAUCCACCUGGGGAGUACGCCGGCAACGGUG